GUGAGGUGGAGCAAAACUCAAAAACUUAGUCUCAGUUCGGAUUGUAGGCUGAAACUCGCCUACAUGAAGCUGGAGUUGCUAGUAAUCGCGAAUCAGCAUGUCGCGGUGAAUACGUUCCCGGGCCUUGUACACACCGCCCGUCACACCAUGAGAGUUGGCAAUACCCAACGUACGUGAUCUAACCCGCAAGGGAGGAAGCGUCCUAAGGUAGGGUCAGCGAUUGGGGUGAAGUCGUAACAAGGUAUC
rnacentral:rRNA from 1 species